rnacentral:rRNA from 1 species
CCUACGGGUGGCAGCAGUGAGGAAUAUUGGUCAAUGGGCGCAAGCCUGAACCAGCCAAGUAGCGUGAAGGAUGAAUGACCUACGGUUUGUAAACUUCUUUUAUAAAGGAAUAAAGGUAGGCACGUGUGCCUUUUUGUAUGUACUUUAUGAAUAAGCAUCGGCUAACUCCGUGCCAGCAGCCGCGGUAAUACGGAGGAUCCGAGCGUUAUCCGGAUUUACUGGGUGUAAAGGGUGCGUAGGCGGCGUUGCAAGUCAGAAGUGAAAGGCUGGGGCCCAACCACCGAACUGCCUUGGAAACUGUAAGGCUUGAGUGUAGGAGAGGUAGGUGGAAUUCGUGGUGUAGCGGUGAAAUGCGUAGAUAUUAGGAGGAACACCAGUUGCGAAGGCAGCUUACU